UUGAAGUGAAAAUUUGACCAUUUGAAUAUAAUAAAAAUAUUCAAUAAAAUAAACUAUUUUCUUGUAAAAUAAUUUUCAUAAAACUAUCGGUACAUGAUUCUUAUAGCGUAAAAGAUAAUUAUAUUCAUAUAUACUAUAAAGCAAAUAACCAAAGCAUAAAAUUUAUUUUACAGUGACACGUGGGCCCACAUCUAUCCAAAAUGCAUCGAAAGCUAGAAACCUACAGCUUUUACCGAUUCGAGUCCAAAUGAAGGUCCUUGUCAAAGUCAGCUAACUAUGGAAUU
rnacentral:lncRNA from 1 species